rnacentral:misc_RNA from 1 species
GAAAUCAACAAUGAGAUUUGUCCACAUGAGAAUGUUGAUAACCAAAUUAAUAGUCUUUUCAAGUGCACAUUGUCCUUGAUAUUUGAAAGGUGCCUCGAGAAAUCUACAGCACAAUUCCGAAAUUUAAAAAGAUACCUUAUAUAACAAAAAUAUCUAGGAGGUAAAGGCCAAUGACAUUUCUAAAAGGUAGAAGAUGCUGCUAGUUUUGUCCUGACUCAUCGCGAAGUAUUAGUAGAAUGAAUAAUCUUCCAAGUGGCUAACAUAAACCAAGAACAAUGUUAUGCUGAAUCUCUCAUUGAGUAAUGCCGACAUGAUGCAUUCAAAUUCUGAACAAUUUUCCAACUCACGAGGAAUUUUAAGAUAUUAAAAAAUUUAGCCUACCUCAGACAUUCAAUGAUUUGACCGCUUCCUCAAUUAUGUAAUUGAAAAUUUAUUUAAGCAAACAUUUGAAUUGAAUUUGCAAAUAAUAUUAAACAAAACAGAAACAGGUACUUUAAAUUUUCUAUAGAACUUUAAAAUUGGAAAACAAUAUGUAGUGACACAGAAAGCAGUAACUGAAGAAUAGAAUAAGCAAGUAAAAAUGGUAAUAUGCAAUCAAAUAGCCAAUCAUUAAUAUCAUCAUCCUUCCAACAGCAGCUUACAUUUGUAGCUUUAUUGUCCAGUUACAUACUUAAAAUAGGAACAGUAGGUAGAAUUUUGUAGCUAGCAAAUGCAGAAGACCUAAAUCUGAGCUCAGAGUCUACACACAAGAAUCUACACUAACAGGCAAUUUAUUGUAUUGAGAAAAUUAUCAAUGCCUAAUUCUCCCUGGCAGAACCAUGAUUUACAGCAUUUUUGCAUGCAAAAAUACAUAGAUACAUUAUGAAUAUAAAUAUAAUAUGUGCAUCUAAUAAAUAAAAGUACAUACAUUUACUUAUUGUUUGACACAGAGUGUGAUUACAGUCAGUAGAUCUAAAAUCCAAGACUACAUUAUCAAUAGGUUAACUGAAAACAAAGCUCAAAUAAUGGAAUUGAUAUAUCAUAUAGGCCCAGGAACAGAUAAGCAUUGGAGACAAACAUACAGUAGGUAGGGCAAAAAGGAAGGUCUGAGAAGGAGAUCCGGCGACUAACGUAAAUGAAUCUGGGAAGGAGGUCAUCUGCAAGGUUGGAAGAGCGCAAUCUGGCCUCGCAGGCAUGGAAAGCAGAAUUAAAGGAGAAGCAAUCAUUAUUUUGUGAUCUUAAUUAGAGGAAUUAGACAACAAUUUAUUGCCGUCUUUUAUUAAAAUUUUAGAAUUAUAGGAACCAAAUGCAUUUUCAAAAUAAGGACAAUAAUCUGCAUAUUUAUACAUGGAGUUGAAAAUGAGAAGGGGGUCAAAAAAUUUUAGCACUUCAAGUCUUCUAUAUUUUUCUUUUUCUCCUACACAAAUUGCCAUCUCCCUCACUAAGCUUAUCGGUUGUGAGAUUCCUUAUAGAGCUCAUAUUAAGUGUCACCAUAGGUUGAGGAACGAAUAAAGCCAAGUCUCCUUUUGCUCACGACUGUCCUGUGAUGCAACACGUAACACAGGACCUUAUCAACAAUAUGAUAGGAACUUGAUUCCUAACCUUUGAACUUAUGGCCUACUCUAUAGGCUAAAACUGGCUUCAAAUGAGCCAAGCAAUGACCAGGCACAAUGCAUCAAUACCAAGAAAAAGACACAAUGAGGACCAUAUGAUAUUUUAAAUUCCAAAAACCUUAAACUAUUGAGCAUGUUGCAUAUGCUAACUCCAAUAAUAACUACACAUAUAACUCAACUCAACUCAA